UACAGAGGGGGCAAGCGUUGUUCGGAAUUACUGGGCGUAAAGGGCGCGUAGGCGGCCUUCUAAAUCGAACGUGAAAUCCCUGGGCUCAACCCAGGAACUGCAUCCGAUACUGAAAGGCUUGAAUCCGGGAGAGGGAUGCGGAAUUCCAGGUGUAGCGGUGAAAUGCGUAGAUAUCUGGAGGAACACCGGUGGCGAAGGCGGCAUCCUGGACCGGUAUUGACGCUGAGGCGCGAAAGCCAGGGGAGCAAACGGG
rnacentral:rRNA from 1 species